rnacentral:rRNA from 1 species
UACGAAGGGGGCUAGCGUUGCUCGGAAUCACUGGGCGUAAAGGGCGCGUAGGCGGGCUGUCAAGUCUGGGGUGAAAUCCCGCGGCUCAACCGCGGAACCGCCUCGGAUACUGACGGUCUCGAGGGGGGUAGGGGCGAGCGGAACUGAUGGUGGAGCGGUGAAAUGCGUUGAUAUCAUCAGGAACUCCGGUGGCGAAGGCGGCUCGCUGGACCCUCUCUGACGCUGAGGCGCGAAAGCCAGGGGAGCAAACGGG